AACGAACGCUGGUGGCGUGCCUAACACAUGCAAGUCGAACGGAAUUAGAGAGCUUGCUCUUUGAUUUAGUGGCGCACGGGUGAGUAACGCGUAGAUAAUCUGCCUGACGAUCUGGGAUAACACUUCGAAAGAGGUGCUAAUACCAGAUAAGCCCACGGGUUCUUUGGAAUCUGCGGGAAAAGGGGGGGACCUUCGGGCCUUCUGUCGUCAGAUGAGUCUGCGUACCAUUAGCUAGUUGGUAGGGUAAAGGCCUACCAAGGCGACGAUGGUUAGCUGGUCUGAGAGGAUGAUCAGCCACACUGGAACUGAGACACGGUCCAGACUCCUACGGGAGGCAGCAGUGGGGAAUUGUGCGCAAUGGGCGAAAGCCUGACGUAGCAACGCCGCGUGAGUGAUGAAGGCUUUCGGGUCGUAAAGCUCUGUCAAUGGGAAAGAAGUGUAUUUUGGCUAAUAUCCUUAAUACUUGACGGUACCCAUAAAGGAAGCACCGGCUAGCUCCGUGCCAGCCGCCGCCGUAAAAC
rnacentral:rRNA from 1 species